UGGGGAAUAUUGGGCAAUGGGCGAAAGCCUGACCCAGCAACGCCGCGUGAAGGAAGAAGGCCCUCGGGUUGUAAACUUCUUUUAUCAGGGACGAAGCAAGUGACGGUACCUGAUGAAUAAGCCACGGCUAACUACGUGCCAGCAGCCGCGGUAAUACGUAGGUGGCAAGCGUUAUCCGGAUUUACUGGGUGUAAAGGGCGUGUAGGCGGGAGAGCAAGUCAGACGUGAAAUUCCAGGGCUCAACCCUGGAACUGCGUUUGAAACCGUUCUUCUUGAGUGAUGGAGAGGCAGGCGGAAUUCCGUGUGUAGCGGUGAAAUGCGUAGAUAUACGGAGGAACACCAGUGGCGAAGGCGGCCUGCUGGACAAUAACUGACGCUGAGGCGCGAAAGCGUGGGUAUCAAACAGGAUUAGAUACCC
rnacentral:rRNA from 1 species